UACGUAGGGGGCGAGCGUUGUCCGGAUUUAUUGGGCGUAAAGAGCGUGUAGGCGGUUCGGUAAGUCUGUCGUGAAAUCCUGAGGCUCAACCUCGGGCGUGCGAUGGAUACUGCCGGGCUAGAGGGUGGUAGAGGCGAGUGGAAUUCCCGGUGUAGUGGUGGAAUGCGUAGAGCUCCGGAGGAACACCAGUGGCGAAGGCGGCCGCCCUGGGCCAGUCCGUCGACGCUGAGCCGCGCAAAGCCAGGGGAAGCCAAAGCGGGAUUAAG
rnacentral:rRNA from 1 species